rnacentral:rRNA from 1 species
GAAUGCUGACAUAAGUAACGAUAAAGCGGGUGAAAAGCCCGCUCGCCGGAAGACCAAGGGUUCCUGUCCAACGUUAAUCGGGGCAGGGUGAGUCGACCCCUAAGGCGAGGCCGAAAGGCGUAGUCGAUGGGAAACGGGUUAAUAUUCCCGUACUUGGUGUUACUGCGAAGGGGGGACGGAGAAGGCUAUGUUGGCCGGGCGACGGUUGUCCCGGUUUAAGCGUGUAGGUGUGUGUUCCAGGUAAAUCCGGUUCACUUUAACACUGAGGCGUGAUGACGAGGCACUACGGUGCUGAAGCAACAAAUGCCCUGCUUCCAGGAAAAGCCUCUAAGCAUCAGGUAACAUCAAAUCGUACCCCAAACCGACACAGGUGGUCAGGUAGAGAAUACCAAGGCGCUUGAGAGAACUCGGGUGAAGGAACUAGGCAAAAUGGUGCCGUAACUUCGGGAGAAGGCACGCUGACACGUAGGUGAAGUG